CACCUCUAAAGCUGCUAAGGAAGCCUUUUUGGUUCAAGAAGUUCGUUGUGGAGCUGGAUGUAAUGCCAUUAGAUGCCAUUACACUGUACUGCAAUAAUAAUAAUACCAUAGCCCUUGCUAAGGAGCCCAGGUCUCACCAGAAGUCUAAACAUACAGAGUGAUGAUUUCACAUCAUACGCCAAUACCUUAGGAAGAAGUUUGUCAAGGUGCAGAGAUGUUGCUCCUAGAUUGAUUUUGAUGAUUACAAAGCAGAUUGAAGGGAUACAAAUAUUUUUUAUUUGAAAAAGUCUUUAUGCUCUUCAGGGGCAAAAACAUAAUUUUACCAAAAUCCUGAUUUAAAUUUUAUCAUUUGGUAGAACAAA
rnacentral:lncRNA from 1 species